GAUGAACGCUGGCGGCGUGCCUAAUACAUGCAAGUCGAGCGAACAGAUAAGGAGCUUGCUCCUUUGACGUUAGCGGCGGACGGGUGAGUAACACGUGGAUAACCUACCUAUAAGACUGGGAUAACUUCGGGAAACCGGAGCUAAUACCGGAUAACAUAUUGAACCGCAUGGUUCAAUAGUGAAAGGCGGCUUUGCUGUCACUUAUAGAUGGAUCCGCGCCGUAUUAGCUAGUUGGUAAGGUAACGGCUUACCAAGGCAACGAUACGUAGCCGACCUGAGAGGGUGAUCGGCCACACUGGAACUGAGACACGGUCCAGACUCCUACGGGAGGCAGCAGUAGGGAAUCUUCCGCAAUGGGCGAAAGCCUGACGGAGCAACGCCGCGUGAGUGAUGAAGGUCUUCGGAUCGUAAAACUCUGUUAUCAGGGAAGAACAAAUGUGUAAGUAACUGUGCACAUCUUGACGGUACCUGAGCAGAAAACCACGGCGAACUACGU
rnacentral:rRNA from 1 species